rnacentral:tRNA from 1 species
AGGCGUAUAGCUCAGUUGGUAGAGCGGCGGUCUCCAAAACCGCAGGUCGCGGGUUCGAAGCCUGCUGCGCCUG